AGAUACUUGUACUUCUCUUAUGGCGCUUGUUACCAUCUUGUACUUUGAUUGUCGUUUGUGUACAUUUCUUACCUCUUCUAAACUGUUCAUCUGAGAGGGACUAACCAAAAGUUCAUGUCCUCCUUUUCAGAAGCUCUGAAAGCAUCCUCUCCUCUUUUUCCUCCUUUUUUUCUCUCUCACUUUUUGGCAGACCUGACUAGCAAAGCUGUCCUGGGGCACAGGCAUCUCUUGUCCUCAUUGUCUCUUUGGAAGAGACAUACACAUUCUUCCACUAUUUUCAGCCUUUUAAAGCCCCAUAUACUCCGCCUACUUGCGAUCAUAAUGAGCUUCGGCUGUGGAAUGGGGAAACAGGCUGGUAGGUGGCGUCAAUGAGUGUGGGUGAGAUUCUGCAGACCUAGAAUUUAUUUGAUUCUGCCCUGAAGUUUUUCAAAGCUUACUUUUCUACUGUUAUCCGUUCUGGAGUUUCUUUUCUUCUGGUAGGGUGAUCAGGAACAUAGAGAUCUGCUGUCAGAACCGACUUGAGAAUACAGAUCAAUUGAUUCCUUGCAGCCACUGUGAUGUGUAAAAGGAACAGUUGAAAGAGACAUGAUGUCAGCUCAUUACUUCUGCCCCACAGGCUGCAAACAGCCACAAAUAUGACAAGCCGGGUGAACAAGGGAGGGAGGAGGUCAGUAGUGACCUCAUCCCCCCACAGCUACUCAUUAUUCUAAUUAUUCUGAGGACCACAGCCACUUCUCAGUGUGAGACCACAGGUCCUCUUACUUCAGAACGUCCUGGGGUGAUUGUUAAAACUUUGCCUCCCAAACCUCCAGCCUAAGGACCCGUACUCCUGGGGUGGCUGUGACGCUGCAGCUUUAACAAGCUCCCCAGGCGGUGCUCAUGCUGUCUUCAUCCCCGGCCUACUGAACUACACACCCCUACCUUCGGGUCUCAGUAAAUCCUCCACGCUGCACUGCCGUCCACGGUCGCCAUCACAGCACAAGGACCAAGAACUUGGGUGAGGUCAGAGCCUGGCUUGGCCACAUACUGAGGGUAAAUACAUAUGCCAUUCUUACUGCCAAGACCUGGUACAUCUGGAUUAUCCACAAAAUGGGAAAUUACCAAGCGGUAUGCCCAUUUGUGAAGUAAGACACUCAAGCCAAAACAACCCUCAGAGAAGGCAAUGGCAACCCACUCCAGUGUUCUUGCCUGGAAAAUCCCAUGGACGGAGGAGCCUGGUGGGCUGCGGUCCAUGGGGUCACACAGAAUCGGACACGACUGAAGCGACUUAGCAGCAGCAGCAGCCUGUGCAUUGCAAGGCAGAUGCUUAACCACUGGACGACCAAGGAAGUCCCCCUCUACUUUCUUUUUGCUUUCAACAUGAGCAGUUUUUCAGACCUCCAGAGAUUUCCUUUAACCUACCUCCACUCCACUCCCUACCCAAGGCAACAGGAGACACUUGGGAACAUACACACAGCACAAAGUAUUGAGCCUUUGUCUCAAGUGGGAAAAAAAUGGUCUCCACCCUCUGGCAUAGUUAAUGCAGCUGCAUUGUU
ensembl:lncRNA